CACUGUUUAAUGGAACCUUUGUCCGGUAAACAAGUAGUGAAUUUGCUAGGUUUUUUCACUCUGUAUACAGUGUGAAGGUGUGGAAAGUUGGAGGUAAGCGCCGCAGCCCGCAAUAGUCGCAGCGGGCACCGAGAAGAGCGCUGUAGGGGUUCAGGUUAUGACAGGCUAGAUAUACAAGACGUGCGACGAGCCCUUCAACAACUUCAAGCCAAAAAAAUCUUCUGGUCCGGAUGGUAUUCCCUCACUACAUGAGGGAAAUACAGCAGUAUGUAGAUUAUGAAGAGCACAGAUUGAAUCCAGCAGUGACAUGGGCCAUUUGUUCAAUAGAAUAUCUUGGUUAUAUGGAGAUUGGCUGAGAAAGCAAGGUGUAUGCUACAAGGUGCAGGUUUCUGCAAAAUAUAUUAGGGAGCUGAUACAGGCAGCCAGAAUGAGUCUGCUGGGUCGCCGGCGCCGGACGCGCGCGUCUUCGUGUCUCUCGCCAGUUGCAGGGGAAGAUGCGAAUAGUUAUAAAGGCGUGCAUGACGUCGCUAAAAAAUGAUAGAUAUAAUACUAAUCUUGUUGCCCAAGGUAUUCCUCAAGUUCACGGGGUAGAUUACAGGUGUAGUGCAUAAUCCUUUACCAUUUUGACGACCACUCUGGCCUAGUAGGUAGUGAUCCUGCUUAUGAAGCCGAUGAUCCUGGGUUCGAAUCUCGCGGUAACGGAAUUUAUUUUAGUGAUGAGUACAGAUAUUUGUAGCUGAGUCAUGGAAGUUUUCUAUGUGGGAAUUAUUCAAUUUGUGUAAGAAUAUCCCUUUAAUACUUGUUUAUUUAUUUUUCGUAUUUUCUCGGAAACGUUGCUAUUCGUCAUGCUACUUCAGUCAACCUCAAUACUUAUUGUACUGAAUGACCGAAAAAGCAUGACACGUUCGUACGUUUGCGUGAAAAUACGUUGGUAAAGGAAAUUGCACUAUAUUUUUAAAACCUAUUCACCUGUCAGUAAAAUAUGAAAAAGGAAAGUUCAUGAGUUUCAUAAUUUUCUUUCCUCCAACAGCUUCCCAUGGAGCAAAUGUAAACCUUUUGUGCAUGUCAAUAGUUCUCAAAUGGAAUUGGUAUAAGUCAUAAUAUAAUCGUAGAUCAAAAUUAGUACAUUACGAUAUACUCGUAUAAGGAGUGUACCGAAAAAAAACUGUAAACUUCAAAUGAAAAAAAAACUGAUGCAGUUGAGAACAAAUUAAGGUUUUUAGAAUAACUACAAUAAAAAGCGACUUUUAAUUUAGAUAAUUGUCACUUUUUUUUAUUUGUUCUGUAGGAGUGAUAGGCAGCUUGUUCCUAGCGCAUUCAGUGGCAGCUUUUUACGGACCCGUUUUUCAUAUUUGCCUGCAUCACCCCGUCACCUGCUGGACAUGUUAAUGUUUUUUGGCUGUUUCAUUCUUCUCUUUUAAUACACUUUUGAUUUGAGCCCAAUAAUAGUAGAUAGAACGGCACUGCAGGACGUUUGGAGCUCGUACUCUAUUCUAUGUCAACUGCCAAAUGCGAUUUUUGUAGGAAGGAAAUUGUAUGAUUUUCGAUUUGGCCUAGAAUGAUUAUUAUUCCAAGAUUAAUAAUUCUGGUUUUACGCUGUUCGACUUUACACCGGCAAAUAAAAGAGAUGCCUAAAAAUAUUAAUCAACAUCUCCAGAAAUAAUCAUUUUCUAAAAAUGCAACAUUUUAAAAUAAAUUUAAGAAAGAGAUCAACAUUUAAACACACUUUUAGUGCUUUAUAGGUUUCUAGAACAUAUAAGUCAUUAAGUUACAUUCUUAUUUUGGUAAAAAAAAUAGCAAAAACGUCUCAGAAAAAAUUAAAAUAAUCAUGUCCAAAAAUUGCCAAUUUUAUUAUAUAUUAAUAACUCCCUAGGGAGUUAUAGCUUUUUUUUUCACAAUCCAUAAAUCCCGCGGCAACAAAGUAGGCCUUUGUCCUUCAGCACACCUGCAUGAAAUAAGAUCUUUUUCGAGCAAGUGUGAUGAAAAGAUUAUUGUUGAUUUUGGAUUUCAUACAAUGGAAUUAAAAAGACAGCGGCCUACGCCUAAUUAUGUAGAAAAUGAGGAACCAAUGAGAAAUGAUUUUAUUAUAAAUUUGUAUAAAUGUAUGUGUCAUUACAUAAAAUUUACUUAAUAACUAUGUAUUUCAUAUUUAUUAUAAAUAUAUUACAAGGCGUUGUACCUAUGUCGAUGUUUCACUUAUAUGCCCACCAAUAUAGCCUAAUGUAGAUUACCACUGCAAAGCCAGGAAGGCUAAUCUUUAACACGUUGGCUGCCAUAAACAUCACCGGUGGGAUCACGUAAUCUUCUCUGGCCAGCUCUCUGGCUGUGUCGCUAUGACCAUCACCGGUGGAAUCGAAAGCUUGUUACUUACAUCUUUAUUAACCUCAGUAAUAGUCCGAUGCUGGGAACACGAAAAUUGUAUGGGGCGUGGGAGGAACACUUUCGGUGAAGUAUGGUGGGCAGCCAACGUGUUAAUACUUCGUUUAUUUUUGGUAGGCUUAAUUUGGCUGCCCUUUUUAGGGUACCUUCCACGUACCUACCGUAAUAGGGGACUACUACGUAAAAACCGUAUGUAAAAUAAAAGGUAAAAAAGACCUAUUUCUAACUUAAGAGUUAUUAGUAUACCAGAGAGCCUACCGCGAACCACGUUCGACGUGUUGCCACUCUGUCGCACUUGUUAGUUCUUUCUUAAGUGUGACAGGGAGGCAACACGAACGCGCCCUAGCGCCCGCACGGUAGGCCCUCAAGUGUAACUGGGUCGCAGCUGAAUUUUGUCCAUAAUGGCGGUGAAUACUGAAUACUUCAUCAAAUCAUCAUAAGAAGCCUGUCGAAGAGCCCUUGCUCUUUCCAUACUCUUGGACGUAGCCAUGUGCAAGAGUAUGGAAUAACAAACACUUUACGAAAAAGACUAAAAUGACUGUCUACCAAACUUGUGUCUUGAGCAUACUCUUGUAGGGGGCUGAAAACUGGACGUCGUACGCUAUAUAAAAAGAGAAAGAUCCCCGCAUUUUGCGAAUUUCGAUUUUCGCGGUAGGCCCCCAGGAACAAAGACGGAAUUUACACCUGCCACGUGCGCUGCCUAGGUACGUAGUGAGUAGGUACGUAUGGUAUACUAAACAUAAACAUAACGUGGAAAGACAGGGUUACUGGGUACCAACGAAAGUGUACUGGAGAUAGCUCAACUUCCUAAUAUCACCGCGCUUAUGAUCUGAGACCACGCUACUCAAACAAAAACGCUUGGACAGUGGCGACAGCGACAGUGCUGAUUAGGCUAGCGCAACGUAGGACGCCAUUGCUCCGCUUUAACCCAUAAUAGACUGCGUAAAGCGUGAUAUGUCGGUUUAAAACGGAGUUUUGUUUCAAAAAGUAUUUUAUCUUAAAAAGUAUUUAGAAGAUACCUAUCUAGUAUUUCAAAUACCAUUUCCAGAGGUAGGUAUCUUAAAUUGUAUCAUUGAUGUAAGUAUAAUUAACUGGAUUCACUAUCAGCCGGAAAAAAUGGCCCCACAAAAGUAAUGCUCGAACGGCUCGAGCACGAGUUUUGCUCCCAGUCUCAUUUCGGCGGUCGACACGACAACUGUCAAACAUGACGAAAUGUUCUGUAAAAAAAACCGGCCAAGAGCAUGUCGGGCCAUGCUCAGUGUAGGGUUCCGUAGUUACUCUUCCGUCACAAUAAGCUAAACUGGAGCUUAAAGUAUAGUAAAUUGUUAACCAAGGGAUGAAACGCGAGUUAAACAAAUAGGCAAAUUUGCAUAAUCAGUACCUACCUAAUUAAAGUCUGUGAUGGCGCGCGCAGCCACGCAUCACAAUACCACGCCACCGCCGCGUGAUCUGUCCCGAGCUACCCAUCGCGCCGCAUGCCGGCCGCCGAGCGACUGAGAGUCGCUGCCCCCGCCCGCGCCCCGCGAGCCGCGCACUAUAAAAGCCAGCGCGGUCGCCUAGAUAGCAGGCAGUCGCUCUCACAGCCUUCCGCUGUGAGGACCGCUGCUCUCCCGGUACGAGCCGGCGUGUUUUCAGACGCGUUAAGGCUCCCGGUCCCUAGCCACCCUACCCUUCCUGAUUCCCGUAGGCCAGUUGAGCCGGCGUGUUUACAGACGCGUUAAGGCACCUGGAGUACGUACCCUUCCUGACCCCGUAGCCCAGUCGAGCCGGCGCGUUUUCAGACGCGUGAAGGCACCUGGAGUACGUACCCCUUCCCGAUUCCUUAUCCCGGUUGUGCCGGCGUGUUUACAGACGCGUGAAGGCACCCGGGGUAUCCACCCCUAUACUAUCUCGCUCCCGUCAAAACCGCCCCUUCACUCUUAGGGGAUACCGAUCCCAAAACUCGCGAGUAGCUUAGGGUCCGCGCCGUCCCGUAAUCCCGUUGCUAUAAAUUAGAAGCAUCCCCCGCGUCGUACCUAGCCUAGGACAUCUAGAUUUAAGGAACCUUUAUUUAGAAUAAACCGGCAUAAAAGCCCGCCGAUUUGUGUUACAGCAUUAA